rnacentral:rRNA from 1 species
UACAGAGGGUGCAAACGUUGCUCGGAAUUAUUGGGCGUAAAGCGCAUGUAGGCGGCACGGUAAGUUCGUUGUGAAAGCCCUUGGCUCAACCAAGGAAGUGCAACGAAAACUGCCGAGCUCGAGUUCUGAAGAGGGUCGCGGAAUGGCCAGUGUAGAGGUGAAAUUCGUAGAUAUUGGCUAGAACACCAGUGGCGAAGGCGGCGACCUGGGAAGAUACUGACGCUGAGAUGCGAAAGCGUGGGGAGCAAACAGG